AUUGAACGCUGGCGGAAUGCUUUACACAUGCAAGUCGAACGGCAGCACGGGGGCAACCCUGGUGGCGAGUGGCGAACGGGUGAGUAAUACAUCGGAACGUGCCCAAUCGUGGGGGAUAACGUAGCGAAAGCUACGCUAAUACCGCAUACGAUCUACGGAUGAAAGCGGGGGAUCGCAAGACCUCGCGCGAAUGGAGCGGCCGAUGGCAGAUUAGGUAGUUGGUGGGGUAAAGGCUCACCAAGCCAACGAUCUGUAGCUGGUCUGAGAGGACGACCAGCCACACUGGGACUGAGACACGGCCCAGACUCCUACGGGAGGCAGCAGUGGGGAAUUUUGGACAAUGGGGGCAACCCUGAUCCAGCCAUGCCGCGUGAGUGAAGAAGGCC
rnacentral:rRNA from 1 species